AGAAGAACUACAGUUGGCCAUGGCUAUGUCAUUAUCUCACCAGAUGAGUGAGGAGAAGGCAGCAGAUUAUUAUGAUACAGAUUAAAUGCGUUCCAGCAUCAUGGAGAUGAAUUGAAGCCCUAAACACACACAUACAAACACUAUGUGUGUGGAAACCUUACAUUGACGGUGUGAUUAUGAGGUAACUGUGAAAUGUGCACACCUACAUUUAUAUACCAAGUACAGCUUAUCAAUAGAGCAUGUAAAAUUUAUAUAUUUGUGGAAAAUUGCAAGAUAUGCAAUUUGCUAAGGGGUAACAUAUCUUUUUAAUGUUUAUUCUAGGAAAUCUAACUUCACUGUUGAACUUAAGGAACAUAAGAAUAGGUAGCCCCACUUUCAUUUAGCCUGUAUAAGAAUAUCGAGUAAAUUAUACAAAUAAGUAUUUAUCUAGCUACAUCUGAUAUCACACGGUGCACUCUCAUUGGCUAAACAUGGUGAUGUCACUAGCUCCGCCCCCUUUCUUGGCCCUAACAAUUUGAAUGAUAUUUUAUUAGUGUUUUUCAAUGUAUUUUCUUUGAAAAUGGUUCACUAAUGAAAAUGGUAUAUACAG